UGAUCCACACACCAUGUGAAGAUGCUAAAAAGAUGUACAUCAGAAAUGGCAUGCACAGGAACUACGCUGUGGUCUUUGCCCAGCUCACUGUGGUUGGACGGUGUUAAGGGCCCCACUGCUUUAUCGUCCCUGUCUGAGACGAAAAUGGAAGCUUGUACCCAGGAGUGACUGUGGUUGAUAUGAUGUACAAAGAAGGUUUGGGUCUGUGACCCAUAUGGGCAGUACCAUUCCCCUAUUAAGAGCAAGAGUGCAAGAUUCAACGCGAUGCUGCCAGCACUGACCCCUUUGAGAUCAGUGGUGACUUUCCAGGCUAUCAGCGCCAUGAAGAAGCUGUUUCAGGACACCAGAGAGAGGCAAAGGGAGAGAAGCCAGAUGAGCCCGUGAUGCACCACAGAGAAGGU